rnacentral:rRNA from 1 species
UAGGGAAUCUUCCGCAAUGGACGCAAGUCUGACGGAGCAACGCCGCGUGAGUGAAGAAGGAUUUCGGUUCGUAAAACUCUGUUGUUAGAGAAGAACAGCGCAUAGAGUAACUGUUAUGCGUGUGACGGUAUCUAACCAGAAAGCCACGGCUAACUACGUGCCAGCAGCCGCGGUAAUACGUAGGUGGCAAGCGUUGUCCGGAUUUAUAGGGCGUAAAGCGCGCGUAGGCGGUUUUUUAAGUCUGAUGUGAAAGCCCACGGCUCAACCGUGGAGGGUCAUUGGAAACUGGAAAACUUGAGUGCAGAAGAGGAAAGUGGAAUUCCAUGUGUAGCGGUGAAAUGCGCAGAGAUAUGGAGGAACACCAGUGGCGAAGGCGACUUUCUGGUCUGUAACUGACGCUGAUGUGCGAAAGCGUGGGGAUCAAACAGG